rnacentral:rRNA from 1 species
AAGACCUUGCGCUUUUGGAGCGGCCGAUGUCUGAUUAGCUAGUUGGUGGGGUAAUGGCCUACCAAAGCUUCGAUCAGUAGCUGGUCUGAGAGGACGGCCAGCCACACUGGGACUGAGACACGGCCCAGACUCCUACGGGAGGCAGCAGUGGGGAAUUUUGGACAAUGGGGGCAAGCCUGAUCCAGCCAUGCCGCGUGAGUGAAGAAGGCCUUCGGGUUGUAAAGCUCUUUCAGCCGGGAAGAAAAGGUUGCGAUUAAUNGACGGUACCGGAAGAAGAAGCACCGGCUAACUACGUGCCAGCAGCCGCGGUAAUACGUAGGGUGCGAGCGUUAAUCGGAAUUACUGGGCGUAAAGGGUGCGCAGGCGGUUUUGUAAGUCAGAUGUGAAAUCCCCGGGCUUAACCUGGGAACU